rnacentral:rRNA from 1 species
UAAAAAAGUAUUUUUUAAACUAAAUUAUUAAUAGUUAAAUUCUUUAAAGUUAAAAUAUAUGGCGGUAUUUUAGACUUUUCAGAGGAACCUGUUUUUUAAUUGAUACUCCACGAUUAAAAUAACUUAAAUUAGAAAUUUAUAUAUCGUUGUAAUAAAUAUUUUUUUAGAAUUUUAAUAUUUAGGAUUUUUUUUUAAAAAAUAAUUCAAAUCAUGAUGUAGUUUAUAUUUAAGAUUUAAUGGGUUACAAUAUUGAAUAAAUUUGGAUUAUAAAUUUAAAAUUUAUAUGAAAAUGGAUUUGAAAGUAAUAAAAUUUGUAUUUUUUUUAUGAUUUAGCUCUAAAAUAUGU